CCCACACUGCCUGCAUACACAGGAGACAGGGAGCCGAUCCCCAACAUAGUUCCGCUGCACAGUUUUUAUUCCAUCAGUGUGAAGUUAGUCAGGUCCUGACCACUCUCAUCCUCGAGCAUAUCAUCACACAGCUGCCCCUGCAACUGCUUCAGUAAAGCAGACUAAGAUCUACAUGGAGCCUCAUCCUGUCUUCAGAUACUCCCCUUUGCAGUUUGUACAGAUUAAACCAUGUCUUGUGAUUCUGGAGAAGAUGAAACUCCCAGUGAACUUGUAAUGGACAGCCCUGAAGACACAUGCAGUAACCACUGAGUCUCAUCCAAGAGAGCAGGGAAGUUCCUGGAAUGUAGGCCAGUCAUUUCAAUCUAACAAAAAACAGGACAGAUGCCACGUCGCUGGUUUACUGCUGUGCAGCUCCUCCAGCUUAUACAAACUGAACAUCAUCACAGGAAGGAACAGACUUCAUAAUAAUACGAAGUUCUAUGCCAUUUAAUUCAAACCACUUUACAAAUACCAUUUAAAAAAUAAAACCUGAGCGACAAAAGCAAAUUAUAGACAGGACUGCCUCACUUCUAGAGAAAUGCAGCUGACAUUACACCACAAUCCAAAGCCAAGAAAAGGACUGGCUAUCAAGCCAGCUUGGAACUACAUUCGACAGCUGAAGUUUAAUAUUUGCAGUUACGAGAACUAUUUCUGAAAAUAUUUCAGGUAUUUUAUAUCAUUUGUUGUAAAUCAUUGAUAUUCUUCUGACCAUAUACACAGAAAAAUCUGCAGUCUCUGAAGAAAGGAAAGCCUCUGAACUUUACAAACGUGGAGACAGAUGAACAAAUCUUUGCAACUACCAUUUCCAUGAGUGUGACGUCCAGUAUGUUGUCAUACACAGCUUAACUUGCUAACUCAAGAAAAGGGAAGCUUUCAGUUGUAAAAACACAAACUAAAAGUCAGAACAGACAUACCUCCGAUUAUUGAAUUAUUUGGUAAACAGUGGGUUGGGUGACAUUUGCCAACUGAAGAGCAACUGGCAUAAAACAGUACUCACAAUUUAAGAGAUUAUGUUUAAGAAACCAGGAGGGUCUUCUGUCACUAUCUACAUCCUGACCAGGCAAUGGUGUGAGCAGACAGGCAGAAAUCAGUUUAUUCACGGACAGCUGUUCUUUAUCAGCUUCAUCUGAAUGCUCACAUAAACAACAUGUAGAAUUAUGAUAGACAUACACAAAGACAAUACCCCAAUAUUUCACUUACAAACUAAAGUUUUGCUGGUUUGAAAUAUAUUAGCAAUAGGUAUAUAUAUUUUAAUACUAACAGUCUACUCUGUGCUGAGACUAACAAAACUUCAGACCUUAUGCAAGGAAACUUAGAGUCAAGGACACACCAAGAACUUCCACACAAAUCUAUGCUUACAGAUCUUACUGCAGAAGCAAGGUUGGAGAUGGCAGUCAAAUCUAAGAAAACAAAGUUAGAUAGGUAUUUAGAGGAAUGGGAAAGAAGACUAAGGCACUUCCUGCACUGUGCAUUCUCUCACAAUCAUUUAACACUAUUGCACAACUGCAGAGUCGCAUCUGCAACCAGAACAAAAACAUUUAGCACUCUCAGCAUGUAUUUCAGUGCAAAAAGCAAUACAAAACCCAGUGCUAUCACCAGUUUAUAUAAUCUAAACACAGUUAAUAUUCCCACAGAGAAACAAAGUCCAAAGAAAUGAAUACAUCAUCUAAAAUCCUUGCGCUGACCCAUAGUCCCCAGCUUAGUGCUGAUCAUUGAAAUGCCUAGUAAAUACGUAGAGUUAACACAUCAGUGCUGAUGAGAGAGUUAAUAACUUCUUAAGUUACAGCGUCACACUGCCUCCAAACUCAGGCAGGCAUUGACAUUACCUGAUGUUUGGUAUUUUUCCCACAGCUCUUUACAGUAUAAAAGCAGGGUUUUGCUUUGAUUAGAUUCUUCCAGAGCACAGUUCCAUAUGAAUGGAUGCAUAUUUUAACUAAAGAUGACAUGGAGUCCCAUCUGCUUUGUUGUAUUUUUCUGUAAAUGCUGAUCCUGCUGAUCUGUUAAGGGACAAACACAAACAUCUUUCUUUACUAAAUGUAGUAACUAUGGAUUACGCCUUCCUAACUUGAUCAGUUAUAGCUCCAUUUCUCUCUUCCAACUGAAAAUUUCCAUAAAGAUGCAGAAAUACUCAGAUACAUAAUUUAAAGAGAAGUCUUAAGAACCAUUAGGUUUAUUUCCAGGCAAAGAUGGCUCCCAGUUGUUUUCCUUGCACAGUCAUCUUUCCCUAGUUAUCUUCAGCAUGCAUAAUAGACACUACUCCUUUCUUUUACUUGAUUCUAUAUGGAUGCACUGAAUCCUUAAAAUGCAUCCAGUCACAAUACAGUAGUUUUGGGGGAAGAAUUUGUCAGAAAAAAUGUCAUCUGUAUUUGCAGUGCUCUAUAAAUGAAGAUAUCACCAAUCCGAUACACUCUAGGUCAACUCUUCUUUUCUUUGGUGGUCACUUUUCAGCAACUGAAAUCACAAGGCAUAAAGUCAAUAGAUAUUUGAGCUAUUUAAAUAGCUCAAAGGAUAAAGGUCAUGCCUCUGAUGCAAUUUAUCUUUACAGGAAGCCACUCAAAUCUUGGAAACCACUACCUUGGAGAUAGCAGAUUCUGGGGGUUGUAUAGAUAAGAGGCCAAGCAGAUGCCAAGCAGCUACACGUGCCCUGUUUUAGCUUUGCAAAUAGUCUCAGGCAAGAGAACAGCUGGGAAUGCUGUGUUCCAUCUUGGGCUUGGAUUACCAUCUUUACAACCAGAACAAGACUAGUGUACCCUCUCAGAAGAAAGCUCAGAACAGGACAAUAGCAACUCUCCCACACAAAAGAUGCCGCAUUUUCAGCAGCACUGAUGAUGUUCUAAGCCUCAACUGGCAUUAAUGACUUUAGAAAGAACUGUUCACACUGUUACAUUGAAUUUGAUCUCCACCACAUUUGACAUGAGUUACGAGGUCCAUGCAUGCAUAUUUAGAUGGAAUUCAUGUUUCCCUCAGCCCUUUUCUGCCCAGCAUCCCAAGGGAAAUGAGACUUCUCUGACUCUUUAAGACAAAAAGCUCUGCAUAAAUGCUAAGUCAGUCACUCCAGGCUAUACCCUGCAAGAUGCAUAAAAAAGCAGAAGUACCAAGUACAUCAUUCUAACUGUUAGGUGAUCCUUAUGCAACGUUGUCCAGGUAUUUGUGAGCGGGGAAAGGCCUAAAAGAAGGUCCUCCCUUAACUUUUUUUUCCUGCCUAAGAAGUAACAUGAGCUUUUGCAAUAACACAAACCAGUGCUGUGCCCUGACAGCAAAUCGUAGUGGUCUAUAGAGCUUUUACACAUCCUUGAAACAAUGGCUCUCUCUGCUGGUGCCUUAACGUGUGGUACCACAGGACAGCUCUGCAGAGAAAAGCACUGAACACCCACAGCAGAAUAGCUUGCUUGUUUCAAUGAAAAUUCUGCUCCUUCCUCUCUGGGUCUGAGGUUCCCACUUUUAGGAAGCAAGUCCCUUAAAUACACAGUGGAAAGAUUAUCUACUGCUGCUUACUUCUACAGUUUAACCUUACGUUUUAGCUGAUGCCAGCAAAAAAAGUCUCCUAGGGCUGCGUCAGGAAGUGAGAGCACUAUUUUACAGAUCAUCUUGCCCUCUUUUUUAAAAAAAAAACAAACAAUGAAUUUCCUAGGAUUAUAGGUCAGAAAAUGGGCAAUAUUGAUCUAGCAGCUCCAGUGUGGCUCAUAGGUUACCUGGAACUUUUUAUUAAUUAAGAAAGUCCCAUUACUACUGCUGGCUGCUAACAGAUUUCAGGGGGAAAAAAAAUUGUAUUAUUGUAAUUUUUGCCUGUAGAAAGUCUUUAAUGACAAACUUAAACAUGAAGAGUUGUUUCAUUAAUUUUGACUUGCGCCUCAAUUCCCAAUUGGAGCACAGUGCCAGUAGCUCUUAUUUAAGCUAAGUCAUUCUUUUCACCACCUUAGACAUUAAGAAUGUAUAAGACUAGCAGAAAUCCAUAACACUUGCCAGAAGAGACUAACAACAAGUCACAAAUUUCUCUUGGGGUGAGGCAGUUAAAAAACCAUAACCACUUUUUCAGAAAGUCAAAUUUGGAACUUAAGCUAUUCUCUCAUCCAUGGUUUGGCUACUUCUUCGCUGAGACCAAUGGCACUGAGCCGCAGCUGCAGCACAGAUGUUCAGAGGAAAACUAUUCUGAAUAAAACAGCCCUGCCCAGCCUGACCAAGAUCUGGUCUUCAGUUUUAGAGAUCUGAACAAAGAAAGCCAACAGAAAGCCUGAAUGUGGUAUUACACAAACAGAAAUCUGCUUUGACCGCUCUGCAAUUUUGACUAAGUACUUUUUUUUUUUGCAUAAACGUAAAAUACUUUUCAUUUUAACUUUUCAUAAAAGUUCUGAAAACAAGACGUAGACUAUGUUUCCACUUCCUUUGCUUUUGUUUUAGGCACCUUAAUUUUACAUUAUUGUCCAUUACUUUGUCUUAUACAGUAAGCAUCAUAGUGGAAAUUCUUGACAACUGUAGCCCAACAAUAGUGGCUUCUCUAGACCAUAUUCAUAGUGAAAAAGAACAGUUACUGCCACCUGCUUAUACUGUCAGGAAUCCCUUGUCAGGUUCUUCUCUUAAGAUUAAAACGUCUGUCUACAGCAGCAUCUAAGCAUUCUUAGGGAACUUUCAUAGAAUUAUAGAAUUGAAUCAUUGAGUCUUCCAAGUUGAAAGGAACCCACAAGGACCAUUCUCCCGGCUUCACACAGCACCACUCAAAAAUCAAGCUCUAUGUCUGAGAGUACAGUCCAAAUGUUUCUUGAACUGCAGCAGCUUGAGGCCAUGUCCACUGCUCUCUGGUGCAGAAUCUCUCCCCAACCCCCAGCAGCCCCUUCCCUGACACAGCUCCAUGCGUUCCCUUCCCCUUCCCCUCCUUGUGAGGAACUGCAGCCACCAUGAUGCCUUCCCUCC
rnacentral:lncRNA from 1 species